AUUGCAUUUCAAAAGCACUUCCUAGCACAGAAAACAGAUACUAUACUAGUCACCAUGCCUAAAUCAGGCACAACAUGGUUGAAAGCCUUGGCAUUUUCCAUUAUGAAUCGUGCAAAAUAUACACCCUCGUGUAGCCCUUUGAACUCUGUCAACCCUCACGAUCUUGUGCCUUUCUUUGAGUUUGGGCUUUACGCGAAUAACCAAAUUCCUGACCUGUCAACCUUUCCAUCCCCAAGAAUGUUUGCUACUCAUGUGCCAUAUCCAUCAUUACCGGAUUCCAUCAAGAACUCCGGCUGUCGAAUUGUUUAUCUUUCCAGGAAUC
rnacentral:lncRNA from 1 species